rnacentral:rRNA from 1 species
UACGUAGGGGGCAAGCGUUGUCCGGAUUUAUUGGGCGUAAAGAGCGUGUAGGCGGCCAGGUAGGUCCGUUGUGAAAACUCGAGGCUCAACCUCGAGACGUCGGCGGAAACCCUCUGGCUAGAGUCCGGAAGAGGAGACUGGAAUUCCUGGUGUAGCGGUGAAAUGCGCAGAUAUCAGGAGGAACACCGGUGGCGAAGGCGGGUCUCUGGGCCGAUACUGACGCUGAGGAGCGAAAGCGUGGGGAGCGAACAGG